CGGAAGCAGAGAAGAUGUACUGCGUGCUUCGGCCGCUAGAGGGCGACACCGUCCCGUCCACGCCGUGAGUCCUCGGAAGUUGAGAGCGUGUUCCCCGAUAGAACCAAAACAAUGAAAGCUAUCGUUCAGAGGGUCACCAAGGCGACUGUGACAGUAGGAGAAGAACAGAUCAGUUCAAUAGGACGAGGACUGUGUGUACUGCUGGGUAUAUCAGUGGAGGACACCCAGAGGGAUGCUGACUACAUAGUACGCAAGAUCCUGAACCUGCGGCUGUUUGAAGACGAGAACGGCCGAGCGUGGAGCAAAAGUGUCAUGGACAGGGACUUUGAGGUGCUGUGUGUGAGCCAGUUCACACUGCAGUGUAUACUGAAAGGCAACAAGCCAGACUUCCACUCAGCGAUGCCUGCAGAGUUGGCCCAGCCCUUCUACGACAGCAUCAUGGAGAACAUGAGGAGUGCAUACAAGCCAGAGCUCAUUAAGGACGGGAAGUUUGGGGCCUACAUGCAGGUCCACAUUCAAAACGACGGACCUGUUACCGUUGAACUGACAUCACCUGCUGGUCCCACAGACCCCAAACAGCUGUCAAAGCAGGAGAAGCAGCAGCAGAGGAAAGAGAAGACGCGCUCCAAGGGCCCCUCAGAGUCGAGCAGGGAGAAAGGCACCCAACGUUCCCGACAUGACCACAAUGCCAGUAGUGGAGCCGAGGGUGAUGUGUCGUCAGAGAGGGAGCCCUAGGUCAGCAGAGUGAGGGAGCCUAGGAGAUGUACAUACAAAUACACACAAAUGCAUGCAGUCACAUUUAUUACACGCUCAUACACACACCACACACCAGUGUCUGCGGGUCCUUAAAACAUCACACGUCUUUCAUUUUCUUUAUUUCUUGUGUUCUUGGAGGUCUUGAAUCAUUCAGCAUGUUAUAAAGGCUAAUCCUCUAAGAUACAUUUUUGUGCAACUGUAAAUUUAGUUUUAUUCAUCAUAUUUGAUGAUAUUUAGGGUCAAUAAAAAAUACCAGCAAAGUUUUUUUCCCCAUUACUUCAGCUUUACUAACCGCAAGAUAACUUAAAAAUGUAAAAAUGUAUUUUUAGCCCCUUUCAGAGCUGCUCUUCAUUACCUUAAUAUGUUGUUGGCAAUUUAAAAUGUUGGUCUCAUCUUUGAAUAAGUACCAAAGUCACUUUUCCAUAAAAGUAAUGACAAGUAACAUUUCACUUGCAGCUAAAGUCUAAAUUAUGUUUCUCACCCCUAACGAAUGGGCUUCAGUACACACAAGGUUUAUACGCAGAGAGAUAUUAAAUGUAUAUUAAUUGCAUAUUAUUUCCCCUUCUUAAAGGUGCCAUAUGUAAGAUUCUGAAGCCUUUUACGCAUUAAUUUGAUGUAUUAAUCACUUUUUAUCGCCAAUUUGUCAACGGGUUGUAACGUUACUUAAAUAUGAAACAUUCCUCAACUUUCUCGGUUGUUUCUAACAGCCUGCGGACUGAUUUCUAAGUAAAGGACUCAGGUUGGUUUUUCCGGGAAAAUCCAAAGGAUGUGACGUUUAUGCGCGCUCCUGAGUGCCUUCUCUCUGCGCUUCCCCACCAUGGAUGUAUUAUUAGUCUUAUUAUACAUCUAUGUUCCCCACAGUGUCAACAGUGUGUGACUGUGACACUAACUAACGUUAGCUUAGAAAUUGAGUCUGCUAACCUCAACAAAUGACCAGCACCCAUUCCACACAGUCCAACACAAAGUCCAAAGUCAAAGCUAACAUUACUGCAAAGCAUGUGAAAUAUAUUGUGAUAUUGUGGUUUUAGCUGGCGAAUGUUAGCUUGCUUGCUCACUAACAUUAUCGCUAGCAAAAUACUAUCUGAGUGGAUAUGUUAUUUGGCUAGCUUGCCAAAUUACGUCACCAGCUAAUGUGAUCCAUGAAAUUAACUUAUGUAUUAAGACAAACUGUGUUGAUUUUAACCAACAAUAAAUGAUGUAACGGUACAAAGCAAAGGUGUAUAACGAUUGCUUUCUACUAGUCAAGAGCAGCUAGCUAACUGUAACCUAAGCUAAGCUGGGGUUGGCCGGCUGGAUGUGGCUUGACUGCGCGGUGUGGGACUGGCGUUGGUUGCUUUGUGGUGUUGGAUGAUGGGGUUAGUAUCAUGGCGCCAAUGUUCUAAAUCAAGUAUAGGAACAUUACAGAUAGUAAUCUUAUUCUAAAUAUCAUUGUAAUUUAUUUUCCAGCAUUCAGUGUUCAUUUCAGCGUUCAGUCUCGUGUAUGUCACUUUUGGCCGAUGCCUAGCACGAUGCUAGCUUGCGCCUAAAACAGGAUGCUGACUGCAGUUCACUUAAAAGCCAAAGGUGUCAUCUGCCCACGAAUGUUUUCUCCGGCCCGAGGCUCGAGCCAUCCACGAUCCUCAAAAAGCAAUGAGUGCCCUUUGAUUUGCCGGCUCAUACAAUAAAUGUUUCGUUUCGUUGUUGCUGGGCUCUCUUAUUACACUAGUUUGUUACGUCAACUAGCAAUCCCUGUAGAUUCAAUUGGUCUCACUGCGUGUCUGCGUGUCUUAACAAGGGUUUUCUGAAAGUUUAUAUAUAAAACCUUUAAGCAUUUUGUAAUAAAUCUGUUACUUAAUUAUCAUUUAUUGUUUUGGGUUUUUUAGCCACCUUAACAAUGUGUUAGCAGUUUACACAUGUUGCAGUUGCCUAUUUACACAUCUAGCAGACACAGAACAACAUUACCAUUCAUUUUAAGUUGUGUUUGUGUCCACCUGAUGAAUUUAAGUCCUAUAUUCACUCUCCUUUUAGCUCUGUUCUCAUCUCCAUAAACUCCUGAGAAAAAUAUCUGGCUCAUAUGCUGCUAAAUGCUUCAUUCGUCUCUCUGCUGUUUGGUGCUUUGGCUUUACUAUGACUUCAUAUUUUCUGUUCUCCUUUUUUCUUAUACCUCUCAUUUAUAAAUAUAAAGAGUUAGAUUAAAUUAAAAAGUGUUCUGUAUGAAAUUCAGAAACCCUGAUAGACCUGAACACCUGAGAAAGAAACAAUAUUUAGAACAUUUACAGCUGUGCCUUUUUGCAAGAGAUUGCACAGUUGUUUUUUUGUCUUUUGCACUGUCAACAAAUACAGUUACCCCCAAAAAUAGUUAUCUCCCAUUUAUUAUAUUAGUGCAUUGUGUCAAGUACAAUAUGGCAGCUUUAAAGGUGCAGUGAGAGGAAAAAAGGAGUAUCUCUGUUUUCCACUUCUCCCUUUCCUGUCCGUGGCUGCUCUCUUUGUUAUUGUUGACGUUGAUGUGAAACUCAGCAACGCUCAUGAGAGACAGACCUGUUUGUUUCUCAUUCUGUGGUUCAUAUUGCGGGGAUGAGGAGGGGGAGAGCAGGGGUUGGGGUUGCUCUUAUUUGCUUUCAGUAUUUGUUUACUAGUGCAAAAACAGAGAAGUUCUGGGAGAAUAGAGACGGGGAGGCAUUGAGUCAGCUCUCUCUGUGUCCCUUCUGCUCUCCAUGCUGAGGCUGCUGCUGCUGCUGCUGCUGCUGCUGGCUCCCGUGGCACAGCUCCUCUCCCUGUGUGAACUCUCUGGCAGGCACGCACAUAAACGGAUACGCCGUCAAACUGGCACUGCACCCGCACUUUAACUGUACCAAUGCGUCUAAGUGCGUGUGGACAGAGGAACAGGAAGUAUGGCCGCUGUUAGUUAUAUACAGACAGAAGCAUGUCUGACACUAGUAUGGACGUCUGAAAUUCACCAAUGAGGUGUGUUGCAUUAUUUUUGUCUUGUUUGGUACAUUUUUAUCUGUCUAUAGCGUCUCCAUAAACACACACACGUGCGUACACACACCCUGUCCCAUGUGGGACCUUGUAAGCCUGUAGUCCUCUACUCCUCUACACCAGGGGGCCCUGCACUGUAAUCCCCAAGUGCAUGUUGGGUAAAUAUGUGCCCCACGACAUAGAGGCUUCAGCACAUCAUUACAUAAGGCCUUUUUGUCUGACAGAGAGCCAGACAGAGGGAGAUGGGAGAAAGAGGGGGAAAUGAGAAAGAAGAAGAAGAAGCAGUCUGAGAAGACGAGAGAAUUAUUUGGUUUUUCAUCUCUGGGUGUUCAGCAGGGGAGUGCACACACAGCACUUCUGGAAAUGUGUGCACUGUGGUGAGAGGAGAGGGAAUUUGGAUGUAAGAGAGAUGUCAGACAAGGGGCUUGCUUGCUUGGCUCUGUCGCUGCAUAUUUUAAAGAGGGAAUUGGUGUUCCCGGGGUUUGCUUUGCGUGACUUAAACAUGAGCAUUCCUCCGAAUGAGUAAUUUGUGACAGUCCUCCAUUAUCUUUUCUGGUCUUCCUUCCUUCGUGUCUGCAGUGUUCUGAUUUUGAUAUAAACAGCUUAUUAAGAAGGGUUUCUGCUGCUCGUCAGGCUGCUGUGAGCAAUUUCUAGCCCACAUUGUCAACUGCUGUUCUAAUGUUUGCAAAUCACCUAUUACAGACCUGUUAGAGAUAUAUUCAGUGAGUAUAUGUAAUUUCUAUUUUUAAAUUUUUAUAUGGCUGCUUUCACAAUGUUGUGCCUUUUUUAUAUUCAAUAAAGCCUACAGUCACAUUCUGUGUUUGUGCAAUCUGCUGAUAAAAUCUGCCAAUAAAAUGCUAAUACCAAUUUCCCCAUUGAUCACUUUUUCUCACUGAAUUUGUAUCUGUUCUCCUAAAAUAGCUCUGGAUAAGGGCAAUCUUUCUUUAAAGCGGCACUAAUCAGUAUUUUUAGUAUUUAGCAAUGAAUCGGUGUGUAAUGGAAAGUUGUCACUCAUAGUGAUGAUCCCACAGAAUUAUCACCAAACUCUGCAGUUCCCCUCAGCUAUUUGGACUGUUUUAGUGUCUUUCAGCCUAUUGGUUUGGAUUCUCCAACCACAACUUUGCUCACAGAAACAGAGACGAAAGGAGAGUGACUAUUGGAUCUGCAUCCCUAAGAUGUCAUACUGGGGACAUGACGGUGAGCCAAGUUUCCUCAGGAAGGCCUUAAUCCUUAGUAACUCUUACACCUGAUCGUGGACUGUCCUCCUUCCUGUUUGGAAAUCAGCAGGAUUCGCUUGGCCUGUCACAGAACAUCGUCCCCUUGCUUGGCUUCUCUCCUCCAGAUAUCAGAUCAGAUAGGAUUGGCUAGGUAUAAACAAAGUAGCAAAGUCUAACCACAAGACAGUGCCCAGUUUUCUUAGAUUGAUGAAGAGAGAUUGAAUCCAUAUUCAAUUGAUGCAUAUUUAUUGCACCAGUAACACCUCAUGAUUUGUAUACAGGUAGUUACAUGUGUAAAGUCUGUUUUAAAAGGUUAUUGUACCUGUAUGAAUAGACUAUAUGUUUAAGGUCCAAGUGAAAUUGUUACAGCACACAGGGCUGCUCUGUAAAUUACAUGCCCUGUGCUCUCUUUUGAGAAAAAAUCAAUACGCAAAAGGGGGAAAUUUAUAUUUCAUAGCUAGGCAGCAACCCAACAAAACACACAAAAAAAAAAGCCUCCGACAACCCACAUUAAAUUAGCUUGUCUCCUUUUCCUCCUACAAGCAUGGACAAAUGUCUUGUGUUGCAUCUUAGCUUGCUAAAUUAGCUAACAAACAAAGAUCCACCAUGGGAAAAGUGCCUUGCUAACGUCAGGAUAGAUAGCUAAUUAGCUAGUUAGCUGAACAGCUUAUAAACGUACCUGCACAUGUCAACAUUGGAGGGUUUAGUUGCUAAAUGGUGUGGUCCUUACUCUUUAAUGCCGUUGCUAACAAAACGCUAUAUGUCCUUAGCUUUUAAACUACAGUUACGGACUUAAGUUUGUUUACAUUGUCUCUCUGUGGUUGACACUGUAAACACCUACAUCAGCCCUCCCACUCAGAGGCUCGGAGGCCAAAGGCGCAUUCUAAAUUAUCUUUAAAAGACAUUGUUAAAAAGAAUAUUAGCAAUACGUUUAAAAAUCACUUUCUUUCACAUGAUCUUUUUCUGCAUAAACUGAUGACUAAUUGUUAUUUCAGUUGGACCUUAAAAUCCUAAAAGAUUACCUGUAUGUCUGUAUGUUUUGUCGCCUUGCCGUACCCACAGAGAGGAAAUGAUGGUUUUGACUGCAGGGAGGGAUACUGCCAUACCGCUCGCUACAGCUGUAGUCAAGUUUACGUCUAGGAUCGAAUAGCUUCAGCUUAGUCACUACAAGUCUGUUUGUCUCAAUUACACUGCCACCCGUGUGGUUGGGCAGACUACUAUUUAUUAAUGUUUUUGAUUAUUACACUGUCAACUUGGACAGAUCUGAUUGUACAUUUUGUUGCCAUUUUAUAAAGAUGUCAAUAGAAAAAGUGA